rnacentral:tRNA from 1 species
GCAUUCGUAGUGUAAUGGUCAGCACACUCGGCGCGUAUUCGAGAGGUCCGAGGUUCGAGUCCCGGCGAGGUA